rnacentral:rRNA from 1 species
AUAGAUACCCCGGUAGUCCACGCCGUAAACGAUGAGUGCUAAGUGUUAGAGGGUUUCCGCCCUUUAGUGCUGCAGCUAACGCAUUAAGCACUCCGCCUGGGGAGUACGGCCGCAAGGCUGAAACUCAAAGGAAUUGACGGGGGCCCGCACAAGCGGUGGAGCAUGUGGUUUAAUUCGAAGCAACGCGAAGAACCUUACCAGGUCUUGACAUCCUCUGCCAACCCUAGAGAUAGGGCGUUCCCCUUCGGGGGACAGAGUGACAGGUGGUGCAUGGUUGUCGUCAGCUCGUGUCGUGAGAUGUUGGGUUAAGUCCCGCAACGAGCGCAACCCUUGAUCUUAGUUGCCAGCAUUCAGUUGGGCACUCUAAGGUGACUGCCGGUGACAAACCGGAGGAAGGUGGGGAUGACGUCAAAUCAUCAUGCCCCCUAUGACCUGGGCUACACACGUGCUACAAUGGAUGGUACAAAGAGCUGCGAACCCGCGAGGGUAAGCGAAUCUCAUAAAGCCAUUCUCAGUUCGGA